rnacentral:rRNA from 1 species
UGGGGAAUAUUGCACAAUGGGCGAAAGCCUGAUGCAGCAACGCCGCGUGAGUGAUGAAGGCCUUCGGGUUGUAAAGCUCUGUCUUUUGGGACGAUAAUGACGGUACCAAAGGAGGAAGCCACGGCUAACUACGUGCCAGCAGCCGCGGUAAUACGUAGGUGGCAAGCGUUGUCCGGAUUUACUGGGCGUAAAGGAUGCGUAGGCGGAUUUUUAAGUGAGAUGUGAAAACCCUAAGCUUAACUUGGGGACUGCAUUUCAUACUGGAAAUCUAGAGUGCGGGAGAGGAGAAUGGAAUUCCUAGUGUAGCGGUGAAAUGCGUAGAGAUUAGGAAGAACACCAGUGGCGAAGGCGAUUCUCUGGACCGUAACUGACGCUGAGGCAUGAAAGCGUGGGUAGCAAAACAGGAUUAGAUACCCUGGUAGUCCACGCCGUAAACGAUGAGUACUAGGUGUAGGAGGUAUCGACCCCUUCUGUGCCGCAGUUAACACAAUAAGUACUCCGCCUGGGAAGUACGAUCGCAAGAUUAAAAACUCAAAUGAAUUGACGGGGUC